AUUGAACGCUGGCGGCAGGCCUAACACAUGCAAGUCGAGCGAGCGGCGGACGGGUGAGUAAUGUAUGGGGACUGCCCGAUAGAGGGGGAUAACUACUGGAAACGGUGGCUAAUACCGCAUACUAUCGGAUAACCCAUAUGGGAUUAGCUAGUAGGUGGGGUAAAGGCUCACCUAGGCGACGAUCUCUAGCUGGUCUGAGAGGAUGAACGGCAACACUGGACCUGAGACACGGCCCAGACCCCUACGGAGGCAGCAGUGGGGAAUAUUGAACAAUGGGCGAAGCCCUGAUGCAGCAAUGCCGCGUGUAGGAAGAAGGCCUUAGGGUUGAAAAGUACUUUCAGCGGGGAGGCGUUACCCGAAGAAGAAGCCCCGGCUAACCCCGUGCCAGCAGCCGCGGUAAUA
rnacentral:rRNA from 1 species